UACGAACUGUGCGAACGUUAUUCGGAAUCACUGGGCUUACAGGGUGCGUAGGCGGCCUGUUAAGUAGGGUGUGAAAGCCCCCGGCUCAACCGGGGGAAUGGCGCCCUAAACUGGCGGGCUGGAGUGAGAUAGGGGUGUGCGGAACUUCCGGUGGAGCGGUGAAAUGUGUUGAUAUCGGAAGGAACGCCGGUGGCGAAAGCGGCACACUGGAUCUCAACUGACGCUGAGGCACGAAAGCCAGGGGAGCGAACGGGG
rnacentral:rRNA from 1 species